GUCAUUACAGACUCUGGAUUUUUAUUCGAAUAUUGCAAUAAUUAUGGUUUCGUUUUAGAUUCUGAGUGGAGCGAGUGGUUAUACAAAGACGUUUAUUUUUUGUUUUUAUCUAUUUACUUUUUGACCAGAAAUCUUGCUCCCGUUAUUAAGUUUAGCACCUUUUCCGAAAGUAAAUCAGACUGAGGGAGUAUUUUUUAGAUUUUUAGUAUACACAGAAGGUUUUUCAACAAAUGU